UACGGAGGGGGCUAGCGUUGUUCGGAAUUACUGGGCGUAAAGCGUACGUAGGCGGCUUUGUAAGUUAGAGGUGAAAGCCCGGGGCUCAGCCCCGGAAUUGCCUUUAAGACUGCAUCGCUUGAACGUCGGAGAGGUGAGUGGAAUUCCGAGUGUAGAGGUGAAAUUCGUAGAUAUUCGGAAGAACACCAGUGGCGAAGGCGGCUCACUGGACGACUGUUGACGCUGAGGUACGAAAGCGUGGGGAGCAAACAGG
rnacentral:rRNA from 1 species